rnacentral:tRNA from 1 species
GGGGUUGUGGCUCAGAGGUAGAGUGCUUGCCUCGAAUGCAUGGGGCACUGGGUUCGAUCCUCAGCACCACA